AGAUGAUGGCAGAGUGAUUGCGGUGAAGAAACUUCAGGAAAAUGCACCGAUGCUGCCUGACAAGACAUUCAACAAUGAGAGGCGAAGUACCAGAGGCGUCGCGUGUCGGGGUCGGGGGCGGGGAAAAAAAGAAGGUUCAAUCUAGUUUCUAUAACAGGUUAUGCUAGUGAAUUCAAAUUAUGCUUUGUUUGAUUCAGAUUAUGCUAGUGAAUUCAGUUACUUCACCUUACCUUCACUUCACCAAACAGCGAGAGGAGGGUGCCCAAUGGCCCUGAUCCUAUCCACAACAGCCAACAGCAGCAGCAGAGGUAAUCAGCAGUCGAGGUGGUCGAGGGCAGAGGCAAUCAGCAGAAGCAAUCAGCAGAGGCAAUCAGCAGUCGAGGGCAGGCGGCAGUGGCAUCAGCAGGUCUACGUGGUUGUCUCGCCGCCGGGGAAGAUCCGCCUUGCCCUGCCUGCCGAAUUCUUCAAGAGGCACAAGAGGGGAGCGGCGACCGGGGUUGGCAGCGGCGGCUGGGGUUGCCGCGGGGGGUGAGGAACCGGCGAGCAGGGCACAAGCAGGGCCAGGGACGCGAGCAGGGCUGCGAGGAGGAGGCGCCCGUCGAGGUGGUCGCCUUCGAGGAGCAGCCUCAGCUGGGCGGCAGGGCAGCUCGCCUCCGUGCAGGCGGCCCACGUUCGCAGCGGCGGAGCAACCGCAGGUGGGCGACGGCGCAGGUGGUCGCCCGCUCUUUCUACGGCGGCUGCCGGCGGUGGCUACGACGGCCGCUUGGUCGAAGGAGGAAGAAGCAUAGGUGAGGGGGGAUUAGCACUAGAUUUAAAACCGGAAGGAGUUUUCUGUAAAAUUUGAAAUGAACUAAGCUCUGGACAACUUUUUUCGGACGGAGGGAGUAAUAAUCAUCAUGAUGAGUUUAGGACAAGGCAUGGACAAUGCCUAGCAGGAGCGAAGCUUCGUUGGGGCAAAACUUGGACAUAGCCCG